rnacentral:rRNA from 1 species
AUUGAACGCUGGCGGCAUGCCUUACACAUGCAAGUCGAACGGCAGCACGGGAGCAAUCCUGGUGGCGAGUGGCGAACGGGUGAGUAAUAUAUCGGAACGUGCCCAGUCGUGGGGAUAACGUAGCGAAAGCUACGCUAAUACCGCAUACGAUCUAUGGAUGAAAGCGGGGGAUCGCAAGACCUCGCGCGAUUGGAGCGGCCGAUAUCAGAUUAGGUAGUUGGUGAGGUAAAGGCUCACCAAGCCGACGAUCUGUAGCUGGUCUGAGAGGACGACCAGCCACACUGGGACUGAGACACGGCCCAGACUCCUACGGGAGGCAGCAGUGGGGAAUUUUGGACAAUGGGCGCAAGCCUGAUCCAGCAAUGCCGCGUGCAGGAUGAAGGCCUUCGGUUGUAACUAGCUUUGUUACGGAACGAAACGGUAGA